GACGAACGCUGGCGGCGUGCCUAAUACAUGCAAGUCGAACGCAUUUUCUUUAACCGUAUCUUGCUACACCGAGAGAAAAUGGGUGGCGAAAGGGUGAGAACCACGUGUGUAACUUGCCGAGCAGCGGGGGAGAAAAAUUGGCGAUAGGAGCUAAUACCGCAUACUGCCGUUUACCGCAUGGUUUCUAGACGAAAGCGGCUGUUGGGGCACUGGUGGGUGGAGCUGCGGUGCAUUUGCCAGUUGGAGGGGUAAGGGCCUACCAAGGCUGAGAUGCAUAGUCGGGCCUGGGAGGUGAUCGGCCACACUGGGACUGAGACACGGCCCAGACUCCUACGGGGAGCAGCAGUAGGGGAUCUUUGGCCAUGGACGGAAGUCUGACCGAGCAACGCCGCGUUAGUGAAGAAGGGUUUCGGAUCGUAAAACUCUGUUUUUUGGGAAGAAAAAGGAUGAGGGUGGAAAGUUCAUGCCUUGACGGUAUCUAACCAGAAAGCCACGGCUAACUACGUG
rnacentral:rRNA from 1 species